GGACGAACGCUGGCGGCGUGCCUAAUACAUGCAAGUCGAGCGAAUGAUAAGGAGCUUGCUCCUUGAUUUAGCGGCGGACGGGUGAGUAACACGUGGGUAACCUACCCUAUAGACUGGGAUAACUUCGGGAAACCGGAGCUAAUACCGGAUAAUACUUCGAAACACAUGUUUUGAAGUUGAAAGAUGGUUUCGGCUAUCACUAUAGGAUGGACCCGCGGCGCAUUAGCUAGUUGGUGGGGUAAUGGCUCACCAAGGCAACGAUGCGUAGCCGACCUGAGAGGGUGAUCGGCCACACUGGGACUGAGACACGGCCCAGACUCCUACGGGAGGCAGCAGUAGGGAAUCUUCCACAAUGGACGAAAGUCUGAUGGAGCAACGCCGCCGUGAGUGAAGAAGGAUUUCGGUUCGUAAAACUCUGUUGCAAGGGAAGAACAAGUAGCGUAGUAACUGGCGCUACCUUGACGGUACCUUGUUAGAAAGCCACGGCUAACUACGUGCCAGCCGCGGC
rnacentral:rRNA from 1 species